UACGUAGGGUGCGAGCGUUAAUCGGAAUUACUGGGCGUAAAGCGUGCGCAGGCGGUUCGUUGUGUCCGAUGUGAAAGCCCCGAGCUCAACUUGAGAAUGGCAUUGGAAACUGGCGGGCUGGAGUGUGGCAGAGGGGGGUGGAAUUCCACGUGUAGCAGUGAAAUGCGCAGAGAUGUGGAGGAACACCGAUGGCGAAGGCAGCCCCCUGGGCCAACACUGACGCUCAGGCACGAAAGCGUGGGGAGCAAACAGG
rnacentral:rRNA from 1 species